GCCGAUGUAGCUUAGUGGCAAAGCAACUGUUUUGUAAACAGUAGACGAGGGUCCGAUUCCCCCCAUCGGCU
rnacentral:tRNA from 1 species